rnacentral:rRNA from 1 species
UACGAAGGGUGCAAACGUUGCUCGGAAUUAUUGGGCGUAAAGCGCACGUAGGCGGCAUUGCAAGUCGGAUGUGAAAUCUUAUGGCUUAACCAUAAAAGUGCAUCCGAAACUGCAGUGCUUGAGUACUUAAGAGGAUCGCGGAAUUCCCGGUGUAGAGGUGAAAUUCGUAGAUAUCGGGAGGAACACCAGUGGCGAAGGCGGCGAUCUGGGAAGAUACUGACGCUGAGGUGCGAAAGCGUGGGGAGCAAACGGG